rnacentral:snoRNA from 1 species
UAAUAUGUGUGUGUGUGUGUUGUGUGUGUGUGUGUGGUGUGUGUGUGUGUGUGUGUUACACACACACACACACACACACACACACACACACACACACACACACACACAUAUAUAUAAUAUUAUUAUAUAUAUAUAAUAUAUAUAUAUAUAUAUAUAUAUAUAUAUAUAUAUAUAUACACAU